rnacentral:tRNA from 1 species
GGUUCCGUAGUGUAGUGAAAGCAUCACGUUCGCUUCACACGCGAAAGGUCUCCGGUUCGAUCCGGACGGAACCA